UACGUAGGGUGCGAGCGUUGUCCGGAAUUAUUGGGCGUAGAGAGCUCGUAGGCGGUUCAGUAAGUCGGGUGUGAAAACUCAGGGCUCAACCCUGAGCUGCCACCCGAUACUGCUGUGACUUGAGUCUGGUAGGGGAGUGGGGAAUUCCUGGUGUAGCGGUGAAAUGCGCAGAUAUCAGGAGGAACACCGGUGGCGAAGGCGACACCCUGGACCAGCACUGACACUGAGGCACGAAAGCGUGGGGAGCAAACAGG
rnacentral:rRNA from 1 species